UUGUAAACAUCAGUAAAAUGUUCUGUUUAUUCAUUUAUGUUCUUAUUUUUCAUAAUGUGCUAUUGAAAACAGAUGCAUUCGGUACAGCAGGUUAGUAGGACAUUUCAUAUGUUGACUUUUCUGAACAUUGUUGUUAUUACACCAGACAUCAUAUUCAGUAUUGGAGGUGGUGGUGGGUACAGCAGAGUUACAUUUAGUGCAUGUAUUGCAGUAUAAAUAUAAAUCAGACAUAAAAAUAAAAAUAGUGCAGUGUUUACCCCAUCUUAAACAGAAGAGGAGUCUUGAUAAGUUCAGCAACUGUUUUGUCGAAGCUAGAAGACUUUGUAUUGCAUACAGAAUUUAGGUAUGUCGGGGGGGAAAACUAUUGAAAAUUAUAAUAGUAAAAAAUUGUGCUUCGGAUAUCCAAAGAUUUUACUUGUUUAAAAAAUAUAUAUAAAUGACCUGCAAUAAAAAUGGAAUGCAAGUGAGAUUGAUUCAGAUUGCUGUGUUUCAGCAGUGAAACUGUGCUUGGUUGGUGUAUGUGUGUGUGUGUGUGUUGUGUAGUUCUCAAGCCUUAUAAUGUCUCUCAAAACUGCAAAAAUGUUAGGUUAGAGGUCAGUCAAUGGAAAUAAUUACAGUGGUUGCAUCUGAAUGGCCUCCUGUCCCCUGUAGUGCACAUCGUUUGACCAGGGCACAUGGCUCUGCUCAAAAGUAGUGGACACGUUCAGUGUUUCAUACUAAAAAGAAAGAAAACACACUAUUUAUAUAUAAAUACAUGCUUAUGAGGCUUUGAAGACAUGAGCAUAUAAGUAGGUCUACAGUACAUUUCCUAGAUGUUGUCUGUCAACAUUUGUAGAUUUUGUGCACCUUAAUAUUACUGAGGAAGAACUGAGAAUUAAUUAUAAACUGGGUGGUUCGAGCCCUGAAUGCUGAUUGGCUGACAGCCGUGGUAUAUCAGACCAUAUACCACAUGUAUGACAAAACAUAUAUAUUUUUAAAGUUGGUAACCAGUUUAUAAUAGCAUUAAGGUACCUCGGGGGUUUGUGGUACAUGGUACAAUAUACCACAGCUAAGGGCUGUAUCCAGGCACUCCAUGUUGCGUUGUGUCUAAGAACAGCCCUUAGCCGUGGUAUAUUGGCCAUAUAGCAUACCCCCUCAGGCCUUAUUGCUUAAAUAUACAAUAUAUACAAAUAUGUAAUAAUACAUAAAUACUGAAUACAUAAUGUGAUUGUCAUCCAUUCAUUUUCUCUUCAGAAUGACAAGUGAAAAGCUAUAGUGACUUAUUAUGGUCCUGGAAAGCCCUUCUACUUAGAAAGAAAUAUAUGUUCUUGUAAAAUAAAUAUGACGUUCCUUUUACUUGUAAAAUAAAUAUGAGAUGUCCUUCUACUUGUAAAAUAAAUAUGAGAUGUCCUUCUACUUGUAAAAUAAAUAUGAGAUGUCCUUCUACUUGUAAAAUAAAUAUGAGAUGUCCUUCUACUUGUAAAAUAAAUAUGAGAUGUCCUUCUACUUGUAAAAAAUAAAUAUGUUGUCAUGCACAUACAUUUAAUUAACUGUGGUAGUAAUUCAUUUCAUUAAUGUAUAGUUUUAUGUAAUGACAAAGCAAUACUUAUGUGAGUGUUUUUCUGUACUGAGAUGCGUGCUGCUCUGUGCUUAAAGCUUGUGUUUUCUUGGGAAAGCUUCAGGUCUGUACUACUAUGCAAAAAAACAUACAUGUAGCUCCUUUAAAGAAACCUUAUAAAGGUGUUUUAUAAUUUAACCAGUAGUCUUGAAAGUAGCGCUCAUGAGUCAAAACGGGUUGGUGAAAAUGGUGCAAAACGUCAUCCCUUUCGUAUGAUGCUGUGCACAACGUCAUCCCUUUCGUAUGAUGCUGUGCACAACGUCGUCCCUUUCGUAUGAUGCUGUGCACAACGUCAUCCCUUUCGUAUGAUGCUGUGCACAACGUCAUCCCUUUCGUAUGAUGCUGUGCACAACGUCAUCCCUUUCGUAUGAUGCUGUGCACAACGUCAUCCCUUUCGUAUGAUGCUGUGCACAACGUCAUCCCUUUCGUAUGAUGCUGUGCACAACGUCGUCCCUUUCGUAUGAUGCUGUGCACAACGUCGUCCCUUUCGUAUGAUGCUGUGCACAACGUCGUCCCUUUCGUAUGAUGCUGUGCACAACGUCAUCCCUUUCGUAUGAUGCUGUGCACAACGUCAUCCCUUUCGUAUGAUGCUGUGCACAACGUCAUCCCUUUCGUAUGAUGCUGUGCACAACGUCAUCCCUUUCGUAUGAUGCUGUGCACAAUACGCAAUACUAAGCCUUGUCUCAAGAUAGUAGGUUGGUGGUUGAAGAUUUCCCUCUAGUGGUUUGGGGGCUGUGCUUUGGAAAAGUGGAUGGGGUGAUAUCCUGCCUGUUUGGCCCUGUCCGGGGGCAUCGUCGAACAGGGCCGCAGUGUCUCCUGACCCCUCCUGUCUCAGCCUCCAGUAUUGAUGCUGCAGUGGAUUAUAUGUCGGGGGGCUAGGGUCAGUCUGUUAUAUCUGGAGUAUUUCUCCUGUUAUUAUCCGGUUUCCUGUGUGAAUUUAAGUAUGCUCUCUCUAAUUUUCUCUCUCUCUUUUACUAUCCCUUUCUCUUUCUUUCUCUCGGAGGACCUGAGCCGUAGGACCAUGCCUCAGGACUACCUGGCCUGAUGACUCCUUGCUGUCCCCAGUCCACCUGGCUGUGCUGCUGAUUCAGUUUAAACUGUUCUGCCUGCGGCUAUGGAACCCUGACCUGUUCACCAGACGUGCUACCUUGUCCCAGACCUGCUGUUUUCAACUCUCUAGAGACAGCAGGUGCGGUAGAGAUCCACUGAAUGAUCGGCUAUGAAAAGCCAACUGACAUUUACUCCUGAGGUGCUGACCUGUUGCACCCUCUACAACCACUGUGAUUAUUAUUAUUUGACCCUGCUGGUCAUCUAUGAACAUUUGAACAUCUUGGCCAAGUUCUGUUAUAAUCUCCACCCGGCACAGCCAGAAGAGGACAGGCCACCCCACAUAGCCUGGUUCCUCUCUAGGUUUCUUCAUAGGUUUUGGCCUUUCUAUGUUUUUUUUCUUAGCAACCGUGCUUCUACACCUGCAUUUCUUGCUGUUUAGGGUUUUAGACUGGGUUUCUGUACAGCACUUUGUGACAUCAGCUGAUUUAAGAAGGGCUUUAUAAAUACAUUUGCUUGAUUAAUUGAAAUUAUAAUCCUGAAAUUUGUAUGAUAUGUUGCUAAUUCCAAUUCGUAACAAUAUGUUACGAAUAUGUUACAAUAUGUUACGAAUUGGUAAAGGUUGGAAGCUCAUACAAAUGGUGUUUGAUCUACAUAUGGUCAACACAUCAUCAUUCUCCUUUUUCCUCAAGCAGAGAGCUAUCCAUAGUGAAUAGAUGACCUAUUAUAUUCAGAUUCAUUAUGAGUUGACAUUCUAUUAUGGUAUUACAAUUGGGUAACAUUGAAUACUAUGUCACUUCAGGUGUCGUGACACAAGCCCACCACUAGAGGUCCCUCGCUCCACACACAUGAAUGACAGGAAGUGCUAUGGACACCCUUUGGCAAAGGAUUAUGGAUAUACUGACAAGAUCUACGUCUCUCCUCCCUAACAAUGGGAGUCGUUGUCCACAAAGCGGCACAGCGGGCUGUCUAGCUCCCGCCUAUCCUUUCUUUGGAUUGGUUGAUACAUCUCAUUAUUUUAAUCAUUUUUUGAAUAUUCAAUGAGGGUUGUUGACAUCAACCUCCUGUAUUCAAUGGAGAGAGACGCUAUGCUACUAGCCUCAUGCCAUGAAUAUGCAUAGCCAUUUCGAGACAACUCCGAUAUAAAGUGUUUUUUCCAACUUAUAUCAGUACACUAGUAACAAUUUAAGCAUUACAAAACUUCUAUUUGAUCAAAUAAACCUCACGUAGCAAAUAACCCAUAAAUGAUUUUGUUGACCAAAUUCAACCCUCUCAUUGACAACCAUCCAAAAACGCAUUGCUUGAUGGGUGAAACAACAUAAAAGCGCCACCUGCUGGAGGGAGACCGAUUUGCUGCCGAGUUGGGCCUCUCUCUUCCUCUUCCUCUCUGCUUUGUCACAGUCCUUGUGAUUACAGUGGAAUGGCUAGAUUUACAUCAUAAUUCGUAAGAACUGAAAUAUAGUGGAAGCAUCAUUUAUAGGCUACUCACCACUGGAGUACUGGGACUUUAACUGAAUUAAUUAUCAGAACUUUAACUGAACUAAUUAUCAGAACUUUAACUGAUCUUGUUAUAAGAAGUGCUAAUCAACUGCUCAAAUAGCCUACAUUAAGUGUGAUGUAGUGUCUGAGGAAACAGAUCAGACGGGAUCCUGCCAGUAGGAGGAGAGCUACAGUAAAGUCCUGUACUGUAGGCUGCACAGUGUUACAUUCUGGACAGUCUGGAAUUGGUUUUAGUGUUUGUGUGUUGCCUAAAAGUUUAAAACUUCCCUACAAAUGGUUAACGUAUCUCCUCAAGUACUGAUGAUCUUUUUGGUCAUUAAAAAAUGUAUAUAUACAUUUCAGGCAGACAAGCAAAAGUGCCUGGUCUGACUCCUCCUAUCUCGGUCCCUGUCUGCGAUCUGAUUGGUGGAUUCAAUGGCAAAACUACUCUGAUCUUCUGUAGAUCCAUAAUGUUGAUACAUGAUAAAUAUACAUUAGAGUUGUAGAUGACAGUGUGCAAGUUUGUGCUUUGAUAAUGUGCUUUGAUGUGCUCUGAUUCAUAUAUGUUUGAUUCCUCUGUGUCACUAUAUAACACCUACAAAAAACAGUUAGCUACGGAAACACAAUAGAAAACAGACCAGGGAAAAAAACAAGUUAUCAAGCAAGCGAAAGCGAGCAAUAUAUGCCGUUAAGAGAUCAAUGGAACGCAGACCGCGGGGAAACAGCAAGGAUACCAUCUAAAAAUCAGAUUAUACAAAGUGGAUAUUCUUCAAAUCUGUCAAGAUCUUUGUGUUCUAACAGGCCCACAAUGUGGUUGCUACUGUUUUCGCUGCAUAAUAUUUAGAAAUAGUCCUUUUCGUGAUUAUAAAAAAGUCUGUUAAAUGCUAAUUUCUGUUCGUAGAAGCUGGUAGCGUAGCUAGCAUAUAGAAAUCGGUGGUGGUACUUGAAGCCGUUUUUAAGUGUAAAUCAGUUGAUUAGUGAUGAUGACAUGAACCUGUAUUGGGGUUGACAUCCAUACAAGCAUUUUAAUCCGAUUUUCACUCCAAAAUAGUGUCAAAUACACAUAUAAACAAUAGCCUAAAUGUAGGCUAAUUUUUAUGGAGGGCAAUGAGGAGAUUCUGAAUGGCGUUGACAUGGGAUUCCGGUCGAGUUGGAUUGGUCUCUUUACCACAUCUAUAAAGAAAGAGAAAGGUAAGGUCAUUACAUAGUGUGUACCAGCCCAGGUGCCUGAACACAUGUGAAUACAAUGGUGACCACUCUGCCCAGUGGGCCCUAAUUCCAGCAAAUACUCAGUCAAAUCUUUAAAUCCUGAUUUACAGAUAACUGUAGUGACGGAAGACACUGUGACC
ensembl:lncRNA